GCCUCAGUCAGCAGAUCAGCGAGACGCAGAUGGGAGGCGAAAAGCUCCCUUGUGGCAGCAGCCUUGCCUGGAUGUGAUUGUGAGAGCCAGGAUGAAGUCAGCACUGACAAAGUGUGCGGAUUGAUGGAUGGACAAAGCUGGGAACUGGAUGUGAGAAUGGAUGAGGGCAGGGGGGGAAUUUAGCACAGACAAACAGAAUGAAAGACAGAGAGGAAUUGCCUGCUAAAGUAUUCCAGCACUUAUAACCCAUAGCAAUUUACUUACUGCUAACUAACUGCUAACAGGAGGAUUCUUUGCAUCUUUGCAGAUUUUCUUAAAAUAUAUGAAGAAACUGAGCAGCCGAAGGAGCUAACAAAUUCCUGUUAGUGCUUUUUAUUGCCAUCUCUCCCUUAUACUUGAGAUUCACUCACACUCAGUUAAUUCAAAUGGAAAACUUGAUUAUUUUCAACUAUGCUCCUGCUAGAUGCACACUUUUGGAUACUGCAGAACCACAAUAGUAUUGUGUGCGUUAAGAGAAACAGACCUGUAGCUUUAGACUAUUACCAAAUUUUAUUUACAAGAGAGGAUUACAAGAAUCUUCACUUUCUGUGCCGGGCACUAAAGUACACAGGAGUUUUGGCAUCUUCGAAAUAGGCUUCUCGAUGGGGAGUGAAAGGUAUUUGAUGUUUGACUGCCACUUUGACAAAUUCGUAAUUAUUUUGUAGGUAACUCAUUAGGUCUUCACUAUGUUAAUUCCUGAUUUAAAAUGAUGAAAUACCACUCUACUUUCUAAGGAGGAGCUUACUGAGAGCCAAAUCAGUUGGCUUUGUUAGUUUUUUACAUGCUGCAAAUCAUCCCUUUUAGUUAACAGGCUACUUUUGUGCCUGGUCUUCUGGGUGUGCAUUCGUUCAUAAUUGAUCCAUACAUGAAUUCAUGGAAUCUUUUGCUUUGUUAAUCUGGUUGAAGUGGAAUUUAUGCUCUAAGUUUGAUAUUUAAAGUUUAAGAAAGGAAGGAAAAAUAAAAAAGGCAUGCUAGUACUCGGC
rnacentral:lncRNA from 1 species